UUAAGUUGGAUGUGAAAUCCUAUGGCUCAACCAUAGAACUGCAUCCAAAACUGAGGGGCUAGAGUCUGGGAGGGGAAGAUGGAAUUAGUGGUGUAGGGGUAAAAUCCGUAGAGAUCAUUAGGAAUACCAAAAGCGAAGGCGAUCUUCUGGAACAGUACUGACGCUGAGGCGCGAAAGCGUGGGGAGCAAACAGGAUUAGAUACCCUGGUAGUCCACGCCCUAAACUAUGAAUGUUAGUCGUCGGGAGGCUCGUCCUCUCGGUGAUGCAGCUAACGCAUUAAACAUUCCGCCUGGGGAGUACGGUCGCAAGAUUAAAACUCAAAGGAAUAGACGGGGACCCGCACAAGUGGUGGAGCAUGUGGUUUAAUUCGAAGAUACGCGAAGAACCUUACCUGGCCUUGACAUUGAUAGAAUCUGCUAGAGAUAGCGGAGUGCCCUUCGGGGAGCUUGAAAACAGGUGCUGCACGGCUGUCGUCAGCUCGUGUCGUGAGAUGUUGGGUUAAGUCCCGCAACGAGCGCAACCCUCGUCACUAGUUACUAACGGUUCGGCCGAGGACUCUAGUGAGACUGCCUUCGUAAGGAGGAGGAAGGUGAGGACGACGUCAAGUCAUCAUGGCCCUUACGGCCAGGGCGACACACGUGCUACAAUGGGAUGUACAAUGAGACGCAAUACCGCGAGGUGGAGCAAAUCUAUAAAGCAUCUCUCAGUUCGGAUUGUAG
rnacentral:rRNA from 1 species